rnacentral:lncRNA from 1 species
UUAGGGUUAGGGUUAGGGUUGGAGUUAGGGUUAGGGUUAGGGUUAAGGUUGGAGCUAGGGUUAGGGUUAGGGUUAGGAUUAGGGUGGAGCUAGGGUUAGGGUUAGGGUUAGGGUUAGAGCUAGGGUUAGUGUUGGAGCUAGGGUUAGGGUUGGGCUUGGAGCUAGGAUUUUUCUGAGUGCAAUGAACCAACUCCCGAGUCUCUAGGACGUUCCUAAAAAAAUUUGAUUUUUUCCCAUAGGAAUGCAUGGGUUAGGGUUAGGGUUAGGGUUGGAGCUAGGGUUAGGGUAAGGGUUAGGGUUGGAGUUAGGGUUAGUGUUGGAGCUAGGGUUAGGGUUGGGCUUGGAGCUAGGAUUUUUCUGAGUGCAAUGAACCAACUCCCGAGUCUCUAGGACGUUCCUAAAAAUAUUUGUUUUUUUUCCCAUAGGAAUGCAUGGGUUAGGGUUAGGGUUAGGGUUGGAGCUAGGGUUAGGGUUAGGGUUAGGGUUGGAGUUAGGGUUAGUGUUGGAGCUAGGGUUAGGGUUGGGCUUGGAGCUAGGAUUUUUCUGAGUGCAAUGAACCAACUCCCGAGUCUCUAGGACGUUCCUAAAAAAAUUGAUUUUUUCCCAUAGGAAUGCAUGGGUUAGGGUUAGGGUUAGGGUUGGAGCUAGGGUUAGGGUUAGGGUUAGGGUUGGAGUUAGGGUUAGUGUUGGAGCUAGGGUAAGGGUUGGGCUUGGAGCUAGGAUUUUUCUGAGUGCAAUGAACCAACUCCCGAGUCUCUAGGACGUUCCUAAAAAAAAAUGAUUUUUUCCCAUAGGAAUGCAUGGGUUAGGGUUAGGGUUAGGGUUGGAGCUAGGGUUAGGGUUAGGGUUAGGGUUGGAGUUAGGGUUAGUGUUGGAGCUAGGGUUAGGGUUGGGCUUGGAGCUAGGAUUUUUCUGAGUGCAAUGAACCAACUCCCGAGUCUCUAGGACGUUCCUAAAAAAAUUUGAUUUUUUCCCAUAGGAAUGCAUGGGUUAGGGUUAGGGUUAGGGUUGGAGCUAGGGUUAGGGUUAGGGUUAGGGUUGGAGUUAGGGUUAGUGUUGGAGCUAGGGUUAGGGUUGGGCUUGGAGCUAGGAUUUUUCUGAGUGCAAUGAACCAACUCCCGAGUCUCUAGGACGUUCCUAAAAAAAAUUGAUUUUUUCCCAUAGGAAUGCAUGGGUUAGGGUUAGGGUUAGGGUUGGAGCUAGGGUUAGGGUUGGGGUUAGGGUUAGGGUUGGAGUUAGGGUUAGUGUUGGAGCUAGGGUUAGGGUUGGGCUUGGAGCUAGGAUUUUUCUGAGUGCAAUGAACCAACUCCCGAGUCUCUAGGACGUUCUUUAAAAAAUUUGAUUUUUUUCCAUAGGAAUGCAUGGGAAAAAAAAUUUGAAAAAUUUUUAAGUGCCAACCCAAUUUUUCACCUUCCAGAAUUGUGUUAGGAGCACAUUUCAGGGCACGGGGAGUCUAUAGAACCUAAUUCUGGGGGAAGUUUUUUGAAAAGUUUACUUGGGGUUUGGGUUAGGGUUAGGGUUGGAGCUAGGGUUAGGGUUAGGGUUAAGGUUGGAGCAAGGGUUAGGGUUAGGGUUGGAGCUAGGGUUAGGGUUAGGGUUAGAGCUAGGGUUUGGGCUAGGGUUAGGGUUAGGGUUAGGGUUAAGGUUGGAGCUAGGGUUAGGGUUAGGUGUGGGGUUGGAGCUAGGGUUAGGGUUAGGGUUAGGGUUGGAGUUAGGGUCAGUGUUGGAGCUAGGGUUAGGGUUGGGCUUGGAGCUAGGAUUUUUCUGAGUGCAAUGAACCAGCUCCCGAGUCUCUAGGACGUUCCUAAAAAAAUUUGAUUUUUUCCCAUAGGAAUACAUGGGUUAGGGUUAGGGUUAGGGUUGGAGCUAGGGUUAGGGUUAGGGUUAGGGUUGGAGCUAGGGUUAGUGUUGGAGCUAGGGUUAGGGUUGGGCUUGGAGCUAGGAUUUUUCUGAGUGCAAUGAACCAACUCCCGAGUCUCUAGGACGUUCCUAAAAAAAUUUGAUUUUUUCCCAUAGGAAUGCAUGGGUUAGGGUUAGGGUUAGGGUUGGAGCUAGGGUUAGGGUUAGGGUUAGGGUUGGAGUUAGGGUUAGUGUUGGAGCUAGGGUAAGGGUUGGGCUUGGAGCUAGGAUUUUUCUGAGUGCAAUGAACCAACUCCCGAGUCUCUAGGACGUUCCUAAAAAAAUUUGAUUUUUUCCCAUAGGAAUGCAUGGGUUAGGGUUAGGGUUAGGGUUGGAGCUAGGGUUAGGGUUAGGGUUAGGGUUGGAGUUAGGGUUAGUGUUGGAGCUAGGGUUAGGGUUGGGCUUGGAGCUAGGAUUUUUCUGAGUGCAAUGAACCAACUCCCGAGUCUCUAGGAUGUUGCUAAAAAAAUUUGAUUUUUUUCCAUAGGAAUGCAUGGGUUAGGGUUAGGGUUAGGGUUGGAGCUAGGGUUAGGGUUAGGGUUAGGGUUGGAGUUAGGGUUAGUGUUGGAGCUAGGGUUAGGGUUGGGCUUGGAGCUAGGAUUUUUCUGAGUGCAAUGAACCAGCUCCCAAGUCUCUAGGACGUUCCUAAAAAAAAUGAUUUUUUCCAAUAGGAAUGCAUGGGUUAGGGUUAGGGUUAGGGUUGGAGCUAGGGUUAGGGUUAGGGUUAGGGUUAGGGUUAGGGUUGGAGUUAGGGUUAGUGUUGGAGCUAGGGUUAGGGUUGGGCUUGGAGCUAGGAUUUUUCUGAGUGCAAUGAACCAACUCCCGAGUCUCUAGGACGUUCCUAAAAAAAUUUGAUUUUUUUCCAUAGGAAUGCAUGGGUUAGGGUUAGGGUUAGGGUUGGAGCUAGGGUUAGGGUUAGGGUUGGAGUUAGGGUUAGUGUUGGAGCUAGGGUUAGGGUUGGGCUUGGAGCUAGGAUUUUUCUGAGUGCAAUGAACCAACUCCCGAGUCUCUAGGACGUUCCUAAAAAAAUUUGAUUUUUUUCCAUAGGAAUGCAUGGGUUAGGGUUAGGGUUAGGGUUGGAGCUAGGGUUAGGGUUAGGGUUAGGGUUGGAGUUAGGGUUAGUGUUGGAGCUAGGGUUAGGUGUGGGCUUGGAGCUAGGAUUUUUCUGAGUGCAAUGAACCAAUUCCCGAGUCUCUAGGACGUUCCUAAAAAAAAUGAUUUUUUCCCAUAGGAAUGCAUGGGUUAGGGUUAGGGUUAGGGUUGGAGCUAGGGUUAGGGUUAGGGUUAGGGUUAGGGUUGGAGUUAGGGUUAGUGUUGGAGCUAGGGUUAGGGUUGGGCUUGGAGCUAGGAUUUUUCUGAGUGCAAUGAACCAACUCCCGAGUCUCUAGGACGUUCCUAAAAAAAUUUGAUUUUUUUUCCCAUAGGAAUGCAUGGGUUAGGGUUAGGGUUAGGGUUGGAGCUAGGGUUAGGGUUAGGGUUAGGGUUGGAGUUAGGGUUAGUGUUGGAGCUAGGGUUAGGGUUGGGCUUGGAGCUAGGAUUUUUCUGAGUGCAAUGAACCAACUCCCGAGUCUCUAGGACGUUCCUAAAAAUUUUGAUUUUUUUCCCAUAGGAAUGCAUGGGUUAGGGUUAGGGUUAGGGUUGGAGCUAGGGUUAGGGUUGGAGUUAGGGUUAGUGUUGGAGCUAGGGUUAGGGUUGGGCUUGGAGCUAGGAUUUUUCUGAGUGCAAUGAACCAACUCCCGAGUCUCUAGGACGUUCCUAAAAAAUUUGAUUUUUUCCCAUAGGAAUGCAUGGGUUAGGGUUAGGGUUAGGGUUGGAGCUAGGGUUAGGGUUAGGGUUAGGGUUGGAGUUAGGGUUAGUGUUGGAGCUAGGGUUAGGGUUGGGCUUGGAGCUAGGAUUUUUCUGAGUGCAAUGAACCAACUCCCGAGUCUCUAGGACGUUCCUAAAAAAAUUGAUUUUUUCCCAUAGGAAUGCAUGGGUUAGGGUUAGGGUUAGGGUUGGAGCUAGGGAUAGGGUUAGGGUUGGAGUUAGGGUUAGUGUUGGAGCUAGGGUAAGGGUUGGGCUUGGAGCUAGGAUUUUUCUGAGUGCAAUGAACCAACUCCCGAGUCUCUAGGACGUUCUUUAAAAAAUUUGAUUUUUUUCCAUAGGAAUGCAUGGGAAAAAAAAUUUGAAAAAUUUUUAAGUGCCAACCCAAUUUUUCACCUUCCAGAAUUGUGUUAGGAGCACAUUUCAGGGCACGGGGAGUCUAUAGAACCUAAUUCUGGGGGAAGUUUUUUGAAAAGUUUACUUGGGGUUUGGGUUAGGGUUAGGGUUGGAGCUAGGGUUAGGGUUAGGGUUAAGGUUGGAGCAAGGGUUAGGGUUAGGGUUGGAGCUAGGGUUAGGGUUAGGGUUAGAGCUAGGGUUAGGGUUAGGGUUUGGGCUAGGGUUAGGGUUAGGGUUAGGGUUAAGGUUGGAGCUAGGGUUAGGGUUAGGUGUGGGGUUGGAGCUAGGGUUAGGGUUAGGGUUAGGGUUGGAGUUAGGGUCAGUGUUGGAGCUAGGGUUAGGGUUGGGCUUGGAGCUAGGAUUUUUCUGAGUGCAAUGAACCAACUCCCGAGUCUCUAGGACGUUCCUAAAAAAAUUUGAUUUUUUCCCAUAGGAAUACAUGGGUUAGGGUUAGGGUUAGGGUUGGAGCUAGGGUUAGGGUUAGGGUUAGGGUUGGAGCUAGGGUUAGUGUUGGAGCUAGGGUUAGGGUUGGGCUUGGAGCUAGGAUUUUUCUGAGUGCAAUGAACCAACUCCCGAGUCUCUAGGACGUUCCUAAAAAAAUUUGAUUUUUUCCCAUAGGAAUGCAUGGGUUAGGGUUAGGGUUAGGGUUGGAGCUAGGGUUAGGGUUAGGGUUAGGGUUGGAGUUAGGGUUAGUGUUGGAGCUAGGGUUAGGGUUGGGCUUGGAGCUAGGAUUUUUCUGAGUGCAAUGAACCAACUCCCGAGUCUCUAGGACGUUCCUAAAAAAAUUGAUUUUUUCCCAUAGGAAUGCAUGGGUUAGGGUUAGGGUUAGGGUUGGAGCUAGGGUUAGGGUUUGGGUUAGGGUUGGAGUUAGGGUUAGUGUUGGAGCUAGGGUUAGGGUUGGGCUUGGAGCUAGGAUUUUUCUGAGUGCAAUGAACCAACUCCCGAGUCUCUAGGAUGUUGCUAAAAAAAUUUGAUUUUUUUCCAUAGGAAUGCAUGGGUUAGGGUUAGGGUUAGGGUUGGAGCUAGGGUUAGGGUUAGGGUUAGGGUUGGAGUUAGGGUUAGUGUUGGAGCUAGGGUUAGGGUUGGGCUUGGAGCUAGGAUUUUUCUGAGUGCAAUGAACCAACUCCCGAGUCUCUAGGACGUUCCUAAAAAAAUUUGAUUUUUUCCAAUAGGAAUGCAUGGGUUAGGGUUAGGGUUAGGGUUGGAGCUAGGGUUAGGGUUAGGGUUAGGGUUAGGGUUAGGGUUGGAGUUAGGGUUAGUGUUGGAGCUAGGGUUAGGGUUGGGCUUGGAGCUAGGAUUUUUCUGAGUGCAAUGAACCAACUCCCGAGUCUCUAGGACGUUCCUAAAAAAAUUUGAUUUUUUUCCAUAGGAAUGCAUGGGUUAGGGUUAGGGUUAGGGUUGGAGCUAGGGUUAGGGUUAGGGUUGGAGUUAGGGUUAGUGUUGGAGCUAGGGUUAGGGUUGGGCUUGGAGCUAGGAUUUUUCUGAGUGCAAUGAACCAACUCCCGAGUCUCUAGGACGUUCCUAAAAAAAUUUGAUUUUUUUCCAUAGGAAUGCAUGGGUUAGGGUUAGGGUUAGGGUUGGAGCUAGGGUUAGGGUUAGGGUUAGGGUUGGAGUUAGGGUUAGUGUUGGAGCUAGGGUUAGGUGUGGGCUUGGAGCUAGGAUUUUUCUGAGUGCAAUGAACCAAUUCCCGAGUCUCUAGGACGUUCCUAAAAAAAAUGAUUUUUUCCCAUAGGAAUGCAUGGGUUAGGGUUAGGGUUAGGGUUGGAGCUAGGGUUAGGGUUAGGGUUAGGGUUAGGGUUGGAGUUAGGGUUAGUGUUGGAGCUAGGGUUAGGGUUGGGCUUGGAGCUAGGAUUUUUCUGAGUGCAAUGAACCAACUCCCGAGUCUCUAGGACGUUCCUAAAAAAAUUUGAUUUUUUCCCAUAGGAAUGCAUGGGUUAGGGUUAGGGUUAGGGUUGGAGCUAGGGUUAGGGUUAGGGUUAGGGUUGGAGUUAGGGUUAGUGUUGGAGCUAGGGUUAGGGUUGGGCUUGGAGCUAGGAUUUUUCUGAGUGCAAUGAACCAACUCCCGAGUCUCUAGGACGUUCCUAAAAAAAUUUGAUUUUUUUCCAUAGGAAUGCAUGGGUUAGGGUUAGGGUUAGGGUUGGAGCUAGGGUUAGGGUUGGAGUUAGGGUUAGUGUUGGAGCUAGGGUUAGGGUUGGGCUUGGAGCUAGGAUUUUUCUGAGUGCAAUGAACCAACUCCCGAGUCUCUAGGACGUUCCUAAAAAAAAUUGAUUUUUUCCCAUAGGAAUGCAUGGGUUAGGGUUAGGGUUAGGGUUGGAGCUAGGGUUAGGGUUAGGGUUAGGGUUGGAGUUAGGGUUAGUGUUGGAGCUAGGGUUAGGGUUGGGCUUGGAGCUAGGAUUUUUCUGAGUGCAAUGAACCAACUCCCGAGUCUCUAGGACGUUCCUAAAAAAAAUUUGAUUUUUUCCCAUAGGAAUGCAUGGGUUAGGGUUAGGGUUAGGGUUGGAGCUAGGGAUAGGGUUAGGGUUGGAGUUAGGGUUAGUGUUGGAGCUAGGGUAAGGGUUGGGCUUGGAGCUAGGAUUUUUCUGAGUGCAAUGAACCAACUCCCGAGUCUCUAGGACGUUCUUUAAAAAAUUUGAUUUUUUUCCAUAGGAAUGCAUGGGAAAAAAAAUUUGAAAAAUUUUUAAGUGCCAACCCAAUUUUUCACCUUCCAGAAUUGUGUUAGGAGCACAUUUCAGGGCACGGGGAGUCUAUAGAACCUAAUUCUGGGGGAAGUUUUUUGAAAAGUUUACUUGGGGUUUGGGUUAGGGUUAGGGUUGGAGCUAGGGUUAGGGUUAGGGUUAAGGUUGGAGCAAGGGUUAGGGUUAGGGUUGGAGCUAGGGUUAGGGUUAGGGUUAGAGCUAGGGUUAGGGUUAGGGUUUGGGCUAGGGUUAGGGUUAGGGUUAGGGUUAAGGUUGGAGCUAGGGUUAGGGUUAGGUGUGGGGUUGGAGCUAGGGUUAGGGUUAGGGUUAGGGUUGGAGUUAGGGUCAGUGUUGGAGCUAGGGUUAGGGUUGGGCUUGGAGCUAGGAUUUUUCUGAGUGCAAUGAACCAGCUCCCGAGUCUCUAGGACGUUCCUAAAAAAAUUUGAUUUUUUCCCAUAGGAAUACAUGGGUUAGGGUUAGGGUUAGGGUUGGAGCUAGGGUUAGGGUUAGGGUUAGGGUUGGAGCUAGGGUUAGUGUUGGAGCUAGGGUUAGGGUUGGGCUUGGAGCUAGGAUUUUUCUGAGUGCAAUGAACCAACUCCCGAGUCUCUAGGACGUUCCUAAAAAAAUUUGAUUUUUUCCCAUAGGAAUGCAUGGGUUAGGGUUAGGGUUAGGGUUGGAGCUAGGGUUAGGGUUAGGGUUAGGGUUGGAGUUAGGGUUAGUGUUGGAGCUAGGGUAAGGGUUGGGCUUGGAGCUAGGAUUUUUCUGAGUGCAAUGAACCAACUCCCGAGUCUCUAGGACGUUCCUAAAAAAAUUGAUUUUUUCCCAUAGGAAUGCAUGGGUUAGGGUUAGGGUUAGGGUUGGAGCUAGGGUUAGGGUUUGGGUUAGGGUUGGAGUUAGGGUUAGUGUUGGAGCUAGGGUUAGGGUUGGGCUUGGAGCUAGGAUUUUUCUGAGUGCAAUGAACCAACUCCCGAGUCUCUAGGAUGUUGCUAAAAAAAUUUGAUUUUUUUCCAUAGGAAUGCAUGGGUUAGGGUUAGGGUUAGGGUUGGAGCUAGGGUUAGGGUUAGGGUUAGGGUUGGAGUUAGGGUUAGUGUUGGAGCUAGGGUUAGGGUUGGGCUUGGAGCUAGGAUUUUUCUGAGUGCAAUGAACCAGCUCCCGAGUCUCUAGGACGUUCCUAAAAAAAAAAUGAUUUUUUCCAAUAGGAAUGCAUGGGUUAGGGUUAGGGUUAGGGUUGGAGCAAGGGUUAGGGUUAGGGUUAGGGUUAGGGUUAGGGUUGGAGUUAGGGUUAGUGUUGGAGCUAGGGUUAGGGUUGGGCUUGGAGCUAGGAUUUUUCUGAGUGCAAUGAACCAACUCCCGAGUCUCUAGGACGUUCCUAAAAAAAUUUGAUUUUUUCCAUAGGAAUGCAUGGGUUAGGGUUAGGGUUAGGGUUGGAGCUAGGGUUAGGGUUAGGGUUAGGGUUGGAGUUAGGGUUAGUGUUGGAGCUAGGGUUAGGGUUGGGCUUGGAGCUAGGAUUUUUCUGAGUGCAAUGAACCAACUCCCGAGUCUCUAGGACGUUCCUAAAAAAAUUUGAUUUUUUUCCAUAGGAAUGCAUGGGUUAGGGUUAGGGUUAGGGUUGGAGCUAGGGUUAGGGUUAGGGUUAGGGUUGGAGUUAGGGUUAGUGUUGGAGCUAGGGUUAGGUGUGGGCUUGGAGCUAGGAUUUUUCUGAGUGCAAUGAACCAAUUCCCGAGUCUCUAGGACGUUCCUAAAAAAAAUGAUUUUUUCCCAUAGGAAUGCAUGGGUUAGGGUUAGGGUUAGGGUUGGAGCUAGGGUUAGGGUUAGGGUUAGGGUUAGGGUUGGAGUUAGGGUUAGUGUUGGAGCUAGGGUUAGGGUUGGGCUUGGAGCUAGGAUUUUUCUGAGUGCAAUGAACCAACUCCCGAGUCUCUAGGACGUUCCUAAAAAAAUUUGAUUUUUUUCCAUAGGAAUGCAUGGGUUAGGGUUAGGGUUAGGGUUGGAGCUAGGGUUAGGGUUAGGGUUAGGGUUGGAGUUAGGGUUAGUGUUGGAGCUAGGGUUAGGGUUGGGCUUGGAGCUAGGAUUUUUCUGAGUGCAAUGAACCAACUCCCGAGUCUCUAGGACGUUCCUAAAAAAAUUUGAUUUUUUUCCAUAGGAAUGCAUGGGUUAGGGUUAGGGUUAGGGUUGGAGCUAGGGUUAGGGUUAGGGUUAGGGUUGGAGUUAGGGUUAGUGUUGGAGCUAGGGUUAGGGUUGGGCUUGGAGCUAGGAUUUUUCUGAGUGCAAUGAACCAACUCCCGAGUCUCUAGGACGUUCCUAAAAAAAUUU